rnacentral:tRNA from 1 species
GGUUCCGUGGUGUAGGGGUUAACAUGCCGCCUGUCACGCAGGAGAUCGCGGGUUCAAAUCCCGUCGGGACCGCCA